rnacentral:lncRNA from 1 species
CGCCGCCGCUGCCGGCGACAUGAACGAGCUGACCCGACCCGUCCGUACCACUACCAGCUAGAAGUAGCUGAGGUGAGGAAGCGAGGAGAGAGGAGCAGUGGUGAGGGUUGGCAAUGGCAUGUGCGGGGGAAUAAAGGGAGGGAAGGGGUGGGUGGGUGACGUCGUGGGAGGUCCGCCGCACGGAGGGCCUCUUGCGGGCGCGCGCCGAGAAGAAGAACCCCUCG